UCAUGUAUUCGGGUGCGUGUCGCUGAAUUCUUCUUAGUUUAACAUCGUAAGAGGGAUCCAAAACCCUUCUUUUUUGUGUUUGUGAUUUCGUGAGAUCUCUUCGAGCCUUCUCCGCUGGCCGUCAGCGGAUGCUCCGCCGAUUGCACAGGGUGGGGCCGCGCAGGUUCACUGGGACGUGAUCCACCCCGUGACGAGAUGUCGCGGUGAAGGGGCAUUCGACCCAUUCGAAUCGUUCGUCUUUCCGGGUUAAGGUUGGGUCCAUUGGCGCUCUUAGGAUAUCACAUUGGCAGGCAUCUCAAACAAGGAAUUCAUCUUUUUGGACAAGCUACUGUAAGUGUUAUACAGAUAAUUGAGAACACAUGGUUCCCUAUAUGAAUGCUGUCCUUUAGGUUAUUACGAGAAGCUCAAUGCAAGAGGAAGUCAUGAAACCAAUUAAAAGGUCUGGAGACAUGAACUUCAUUUUAACAUCUCUUUGUGCACCUAUUGUUUCUUAUAACAAGGAACUUCUUAAGCUUUCCAUUAUCUUGAGGUUUUCAGCAAAGUCUCUAUCCUCUAAUUGAAAGUUGACUGAUUCUUUGUCAUCCAAAGCAUUUGAACUUUCAGUUCCUAGAGUUUCUUAUCAUCACAACCUCAUUGCUGCACAUCCAUAUUGUUGUGGUGUGUCUUCUUGAUUAACUUGUGCUCAAGUCAUUGAUGUCAAUGUUUUUACCACUGGCUUGCUCAGUUUCUGCAAGAAUGUUACACAGUUGCGGAACUAAUUUACAAGAGUAAAUGGUGCCAACGAGCUGUUCGUUAGGAAGCUUUAGCCAAGAUUCCUAUCAAACUUCUCAACUAUUUGUUUCCUACCUUUGAUUUUUCAACCUCUCGUCUUGACCUUGGAUACAUUUCAGAACAUUAUUCUUUUCAGGUUAUUGUUGAAGAUUUGAAUUUUGUCAAACCAUAUAGAGAUUCAUCAUAAGUCCAUGGAGCCUAAGAGUUCAAUAAUUGGAAAAAAAAAUCAAAAACUCCCAUUUUCAGUAAGGUUUUUAACUUGAUAUUUAAACUUAGCUAGUGUUUUGCAGCAUUAGUUUGAAUCAUAAUUCCCCCUGUUUCUGGUGCAUUUGAACGGGGAAGAAUUCUCAUAGUAUCUUGAUUAAUAACCAUUACGUUGAUGCAUUUUUUAUUAGUCUCUCCUGCUUGAGUAGAUGCAGUGGACAAUGAAGAGGACUACAGAGACCACCUCACUUGUGGCAGGUAUUCUUUGCAAAUCCUUACCUUACGAAUGGCAAGGUUAAUAAGCAAGGGAAGCUACAUUCAGAUUUACAGAUUUUCAGACGCAAGAAUCCCCACGAGUUCCUGUGACUGAGGCCGGAUGACCCUCCUUUGAUAAGAAGGCAGCUGCUACUGUAUGAUUGGAGUAUGAUGAUAUUUGGAUCAGUCUAGGUUGUCACUCAAAGGUGCAUGAAUGAAAAAUGAAGGCUCUCUUGUGAAGUUGCUACUAUCAAGUGAAUGAUUGAUUAAGGAACUCAUUUAGGGUCGAACUGAAGAUUGUGAUUGCUGAUGUUCCUAAUACAAUAGAAGGGUUUUGAUCACCUUGCUGAAGUCCAAGAUAGUAUUGGAAGCAUUAACAAGGACCAAGUGUUGAAGGCUCAUGAAAGUGAAAUUAUUAAAGAAAAUGAGAGGUUCUUUGCCUUAAUUACUGAUAAUAUAGAAGGAGGUAUCUUCUGAAAUGUAAUCAUCUCAUUUCUCAGUACCAUGUGGCUACAAGCAAAAGGUGGAGUGAACAAAGUGGACAUAUCAGCUAAUGUAGUGCUUUCCUUUGGUUGAAUAGCAUACUUCUGGGGAUAAUUAUAGAGAAUCUGGAGUUCAGCAAUUACUAAAGAUGACACAUAGGUUUAAACUUGGUCUGAUCAGAGAUGAUGUGCAACAUCAGCUUUAUGCGAACCCCAUGCAACCAUGUCUUGUGUGGUGAAAUUAGAAAGUACCAGAAGUAGCAUUGAUUCUGCAGAACUUCUGCACUGGCUAGCGGAUGAAAUAAUCCACUAUUGGUACUGCUCAUAGAGACAGGCCUUCAGAAUUUUUACCAGAUGGUGAAUGAAAUAAUCCUGUAAAUAUUAUGUAAAGCAUACUGUUGUUGGGGAUCUUGAUGACAUCUGCUAGACAUUGGAUGCCACCUAAGUUCUUGCAGUUAUAAUUAUCAUGAAUUAAUGGGUUCCCAAGAUAUUUUAGUUGCUGAAGUUCCAUGGUUAGUUGGAAUUGAACAUUUUAUAUCAUCAACUGCUGUAUCAUUUGACCUGAAACUACCAUAAGCUGGCUAAGCUAGUAAAUUGACUGCAUAAAGUUACAUGCUGAGGGUGGCAAUGCAAGUGUCAGUAGCAUUGUGGUAAUAUUGAACUUUUGCUGUCUUUUCUCAUUCCUCUAAAGAAAUGUACAUGGGCAAAAAAUUCUCAUUUUUCCCUUUCAAUUGUUCACCUUGAGUGAUGUGAACUAGGAUCUUUGUUGCAAAACUGUGACAGAACAAAUGAGGUGGCCUUCAACCUUGCAAAGGAGAAUGCAAUGGUGGGAAUGGUAUGUCUUUAAUUCAUCAGUAUCAAUAGACUACCCCACAGUGAGCUGCAUGUAGGCUCAUUCCUGGCAACCUUCCAAAACACUAUUCAGAUGCAUCUAAAGUGGAUACUGGAUGCUUUUGUAAGGUAGCCACUGAGUUUGUUCCCAAUGUGUAUUGUGUUAGCUUCAAUUUGUUCAACAUACUGAGAGAAAAACUCAGAAGUGUGAGGCCAACAUAUAAUCAUAGCAAAUAUUCUCAUCUUAUUAUGGUUUUCACUGUUUUAUUCUUCUAGUUCCCAUGGAAUUUUGACUAGAACAGCAAUGUACUUGGAGCAAUUCACAUGGGCCAUGUAGUUUAUAUGUGAUACUUGAUUCCAUAAUCUUCUUGUACCUUCUCCAUUGCCAGAGUGCCAGAGAAGUGAAAAUAGCUUUAAAAUUUCAAAGAUAUGUAGAUAUGGAAUGAUAUAGUCAAACAUGUCAUAAACUCAAUAAAUCUAAUAAGAACUGCAGCAAAUUCCAUACUCGGGUACUAAUUCAGAUGAUAAAAUUCAGGUAAAGUCCAUAAGCUUCACUGGUUCAUGAUCUCUUCAGAUUGUCUUCUCAUCUACUGCAUAACCUACCAGAGAAUCUCAUCAGAUAGCAAGAACAAGAAGAUGUCAUACUUGAACUCACCAUGCUGUUCAAUCUGUAAGAGAAAAACCUUAUCACUGGGGAAGUGAUACUCUACUUGAUGAUCAAACAGUGCCAAAACAGAUCACAAAAUUUAGCAAGGAAAAUUAAGGAAGAGGAGGAAGAUAUGAGGGGAGAGCAUCAAGACUCCUCUGUCAGCACAACUUGCACCUUCUUUAUCCCUAUAGAACACAGUUACCAUUACUCCAACCUCAUCAGUUACCAUUCAGCAAAAUUUUUGUUCCCUCUAUACAUCGAUCUCCACUUGUCGGUCUCUUCAUCGAGUACAUAAAAGCCUCACUUUAAUCUACAUCAUUUCCAGCUAUAGCUCUCUGAUUUGCCAUCAUCCUCCAAGCUCUCUCCCGCAGUCACUGACAAUGCAAGUGCAGAGCCAGCUAACUGAAGCGGGCUUUGCGGAGAAUUGGAUUGUGAAACACUCUGCUGUGAGGAGCAAGUGUGUUGAUCUUGUGGAAUAGCUGAAGCAUUAGACAUUCUUCGAGUGUGCAACCGGUAUUUCUGAAACAGCAGGGCCAGAACAUUGAGCAAACCGUGAAAACUGAGAUCAACAAGCAAGCGAUAUACCUGCAGAUGGCUUUUCACUUCAUCGUUUGUGAGCCCAUCCACCUUCAUCCGGUCUCGUAUCUGCUUGGGGGUGGCCACUGCAUCAACGAGUACAAGAGUCAAAUCCAAGUGAGAAGAAGAAGAAGAAGAAGAAAUGACAAACAUCGUCUUCUCACCUUGAACACCGCCGAGCUGUUGGAUGGCGCGCAUGAACCGACGAUGUAGCUCCUGCGACCAGCAUCUCCUCGCCUUUCUUGGUGGCUGCUGCUGCAGCGACU